AUUUCUUCUCGGCUCUUUAGCCCAGACCAAGUGUAGUAUCUGUUCUUAUCAGUUUAUUAACUAUUUUUAAUGCAAAUGUGUCUACAUAACCUCU
ensembl:snRNA U2 U2 spliceosomal RNA